AGUUUGAUCCUGGCUUAGAACGAACGCUGGCGGCGCGUUUUAAGCAUGCAAGUCGAGCGGCAAGGGCCUUCGGGCCCCUAGAGCGGCGGACGGGUGAGUAACACGUGGACAAUCUGCCCCCCGGCCCGGGAUAGCCCAGGGAAACCUGGAUUAAUACCGGAUGAGACGGGACCCGCGAUGGCGGGAUCCGGGAAAGGCGCUGCGGCGCCGCCGGGGGAUGAGUCUGCGUCCCAUUAGCUAGACGGCGGGGUAACGGCCCACCGUGGCGACGAUGGGUAGCCGGCCUGAGAGGGUGGACGGCCACAUUGGAACUGAGACACGGUCCAGACUCCUACGGGAGGCAGCAGUAGGGAGUUUUCGGCAAUGGGGGAAACCCUGACCGAGCAACGCCGCGUGAACGAUGAAGGUCUUCGGAUUGUAAAGUUCUGUUGUAGGGGAUGAAUGAUUCGUGAAGGAAAUGUCACGAAUUUGACAGUACUCUACCAGAAAGCCACGGCUAACUACGUGCCAGCAGCCGC
rnacentral:rRNA from 1 species